rnacentral:rRNA from 1 species
CGGAGGAUCCAAGCGUUAUCCGGAAUUACUGGGCGUAAAGGGCGCGUAGACGGCAUGGCAAGUCGGGAGUGAAAGGCCUGGGCUCAACCGAGGAACUGCUUUCGAGACUGCCAAGCUAGAGUGCGGAAGGGGCAUCUGGAAUUCCCAGUGUAGCGGUGAAAUGCGUAGAUAUUGGGAAGAACACCUGAGGCGAAGGCGGGAUGCUGGGCCGACACUGACGCUGAGGCGCGAAAGCCAGGGGAGCAAACGGGAUUAGAUACCCCGGUAGUCCUGGCCCUAAACGAUGGAUACUUGGUGUGUGGGGUUCUUCGAGUCCCCGCGUGCCGGAGCUAACGCGGUAAGUAUCCCGCCUGGGGGAGUACGGUCGCAAGGCUG